rnacentral:lncRNA from 1 species
UUUUUUUUUUUUUAAUUUUUUUUUUAAAUUUAUUUAUGAUAGUCACAGAGAGAGAGAGAGGCAGAGACACAGGCAGAGGGAGAAGCAGGCUCCAUGCACCGGGAGCCCGACGUGGGAUUCGAUCCCGGGUCUCCAGGAUCACGCCCUGGGCCAAAUGCAGGCGCCAAACCGCUGCGCCACCCAGGGAUCCCAUGGGUGGGUUUUUAAAUUCUGGGAUAUUCAGUCACAUUGAAGAUGCUACUGCCUUUUGACACUGUCCUAAUCAGUGACAUAGGCGGAUAUCAAGUCCUUACCUGCUCCCGCCAUGGAUGAGGCAUGUUACUGGGAGGUCACCCCCACCCCCAUGUGCAGGUACGAUUUAGCCCCUUUGCACAGAGGAGAAAGCUGAGACUCAGGUUGAAUGACUUCUCAAGGUUGCUCUGUAUCCCCCCCAAAACUCAUCUGCCUUCAUCCUAACUCCUGGUCCCUCAGAACGUGACUGUAUUUGGAGAGCGGGUCUUUAAAGAGGCACUUAGGUUAAAAUGAGGUUAUCGGGGGCACCUGGCUGGCUCAAGGGUCGUGAGAGCCUGUUGGGCUGGAGAAAGGCCUCGGGGUGCCUGGAGGUCUCAGUGGGUGAAGUGUCUGCCCUCAGCUCAGGUCAUGGUCUCAGGGUCCUGGGGUUGAGUCCCGCUUUGGCUCCCUGCUCAGCGGGGAGUCUGCUUCUCCCUCUGCCCCUCCCCCGGCUCAUGCUUGCUCAAAUAAAUACAUAGUUUUUAAAAGAAAAAAAAAACGAAGCAGCACAGCAACCGCUGUCCCUCCAGCACUGUCCACAGACGAAAUCUAAGCCCUGUGCUUGCUGGUAAAGGAGAAAUGGUGCGGAUCCAGUAACAGAAGCAGGACAGAGAAGGACAGAGGAGGAGGAGGAGUGGAAAUGCACUAAUGACCUCCCAGUGCCCCAGGGUGCCUGGACCUGUGCCCCCAGGUGACAAAGUUUCUAAGCUGAGGCCUCAGAGGCCCCAAGAGACAACCAGACUUUCCACGAGGCUCCGGCAUGAGCAUGGACAGGAGGUAAGUAGAGCCACGGGCAUCCACGCACACACCCCGCGACCAAGCCCAGGCUGCAGGAAGACAGACUGGGAAACUGGGAAGUGCUGGUCCCCUCAAAGAGGACCAAGAGGUUUGCACUUCCUCCUGAAGGCCAAGGGGAGCCCGUGAAGGGGUUAACACAGAAUGGUGUAAGCACAGUGAGGUGCUUAGAAGACCAUCUGGAUCAUUUUCUGAAGGAUGGGCGGUGGGUCAGGGCUGCGAGUAGGGUUUUGGGGCAGGUGACCCCAGCAGUGAUGUGCCCUGGAGUGGGUGACAGCCCCAGUGGGCUUCGGGCAGUGGGCACAGAUGGAUCGAGUCCGAACGUUAAAGAGGCAAAACUGGGCGGAACCGGUGCUGUCCUCAAAAGAGGGGGCGAGGGGACAGGCGUCAGGGUGACAUCCAUGCUUCUUGCCUGGGCAACUGUCUGAUUUGUGCAGUUGGAGGUGAGGACAGGGCAAAGGGGACAUCACCUUACACAUGUGUGAGGCACCUGUGGGGCCUCCGGGAGCAGCGUCCGGGGAGCCAGUGAUGGGUCAGCAGGUCAGGAGCCCAGGAGGAGCGUCUGGAACGCAAGGCACAGAUGCCAGAAUCACGAGCAUGCCACUGGUACCUAAGGCAGAAGAGCGUCACCAUGGGUUACGGUUCGGAGCCCUGGGCAUGUGCUGUGGGAGUAGAACCGGAUCAGAAUCCCGGCGUCCUCAUCUCCCUUGGCCAUCCUUCCCUGAGGCGUCCCACAGAAGGGGCUACCGUGGGGAUGAAGCCCCCUGCUGGAUGGAAAUCUGCACACCAUCACAGGCCCCUUGUCCAUCUUUCUGGGACAUCUCAGUGACUCCGUCACCUCUGGCUCCCGUGAUCACCUUCAUCUGGGCAGAAUCCUGAAUCUGGAACUCCAGCUCCUCACCCACACUUUAGUCUGUAAUCACAGUACAUGUCUAGUCCCAUGUCCUGCUGGAUCAUGAAGCAGAUGGAUGAAGAUGAACUCAUCAUCUCACAGCUAUUCUCCUUUCUUACCGUCCAUUUCUGACCAGUUUUCAUGGAACACAUACUGAAUUGCGAUCCUACGGCAUUCAGGCACCGUUCUAGACUGUGGGAAUACCCUGGUGCACGAGACAAAGUCCCUGCCCUCGUGGGGGCUUGUGUUCUAGAGGUUUCUAGGCCAGACCCACAGGAGCAUAUGCCACCUAAAAUGUGGUACACACACCAUAUACAUCAGUCACACCCAGGAGCUUAGUAGAAAUGCCAGUUCUCAAGCAGCAUCCCAGGCACACUGAGUCAAGGCUGUGCGUUAGGGGCCCAGCAUUCGGUGCCUACCCAGCCCUGCAGCAAUGCCCUCAUCAUCUCAGACCCCCCUCUAUUCAUACCUGGGAAACCUGAAGAUUCCUCCUGUGGCCCUCUCCAUCCCCAUCUUCAUCUGGAACCUUUGAACCUCACAUAUGCAUUGUUGGAAAAUCUAAUCAAUCUGUUUUCUGGCUCCAUGCUGUUGGAUGGAGGACUUUUCUCAAAUCCUGCCUUCACCGACAACAAUGAUAAAAAACUCACUGUGGAGGUUUAAGUCAUCUGUUCAAGGAAAUAACAGCUUCUCUGGACCUGAGAGCUGUGUCAUGUACCCUAGGGCUGCUGUAACAAGGUACAUGGAUUGGGCGGCUUCCAAGAGAAAUUCACUCUCGCAGUUUUGGAGGUGGCUUCCCUCUGUGGGCUCUGGUGGCAGCGGGCAGUCCUCAUACCCCUUGCUUUGUAAACACGUGACCACAAGCUUGGCCUCCCUGUCCA